UACGUAGGGUGCGAGCGUUUGUCCGGAAUUAUUGGGCGUAAAGGGCUCGUAGGCGGUUUGUCGCGUCGGGAGUGAAAUCCACUGGCUUAACUGGUGGCUUGCUUUCGAUACGGGCAGACUGGAGGUAUGCAGGGGAGAACGGAAUUCCUGGUGGUAGCGGUGAAAUGCGCAGAUAUCAGGGAGGAACACCGAUGGCGAAAGGGCAGGUCACCUGGGCCGCAACUGACGCUGAGGAGCGAAAGCAUGGGGAGCGAACAGG
rnacentral:rRNA from 1 species